CGCCUAUAAAUACCCGUCGUCUCCGCACGCCUCUUCCGCAAACCGAGGCCGGGGACCGGACCCCGCUCCCCCCACCCCCAUCUUCUCGCCGUUGAUGAGAUUCCUCUCCCAUCUUCUCCCUCUCCGCCGAAACCCAAACCCUAGCUAUUGCUUCUUCUCGCUCUCCGCACCCAGAUCCCUUGCCUCCACCUGCCCCCGAUUCGGUUUCUUGAAUCGAGAUCGCCCCCCGCGUUGCCUUCCGAAGGGGUUCCGAUCUAUCGCCGCGGCGAAUCAGCGGGCGUCGCCUCCAAGAUUGGUGCCGGAGAGGGCGGUCGCCACGCGUUCUUGGCCUUCUUCAGCCGGACGAGCCAUGGCAGGGGUGGCGGCGGCGGUUGAAGAGGGCUCGGCGGCGAAGCGGUUCUGGAUCAGGUCCCGCAAGGAGGCAGUGUUCGCGGAGUACACCCCGUUCGUGGUGUGCCUGGCGGCAGGGAGACUGGAGAUGGAGGCCUUCCGGAACUACAUUGCUCAGGACGUGCACUUCCUUAGAACUUUUGCCCAAGCGUAUGAGAUGGCGGAAGAGUGUGCUGAUGAUGAUGAUGCGAAGGCUGCAAUAACUGAUCUGAGGAAAGCUGUUUUGGAGGAACUGAAAAUGCACAAUUCAUUUGUCCAGGAAUGGGGCAUAGACCCCACUAAAGAAAUCAUUCCUAUCCCUGCAACAGUGAAGUACACCGACUUUCUGCUUGCAACAGCUGCAGGAAAAGUUGAAGGAGGGAAAGGUCCUGGGAAAAUUGUCACUCCUUUUGAGAAGACAAAAAUUGCUGCUUAUACUGUAGGUGCCAUGACUCCUUGCAUGAGGCUUUAUGCAUUCCUGGGAAAAGAGCUCCAGAUGUAUCUGCAACAUGACGAAAAUGGUCAUCCCUACAAAAAGUGGAUUGAUAAUUAUUCCUCUGAAAGUUUUGAGGCAGAUGCUGUGCAAAUAGAAGAAUUGCUUGACAAAUUGAGUGUUUCAUUGACUGGGGAGGAGCUUGAAGUCAUAGAAAAGCUUUACCGCCAAGCUAUGAAACUUGAAAUUGAAUUUUUUCUUGCUCAGCCAAUUGUCCAACCAGCUGUAGUUCCAUUGACAAGACUGCAUGAUCCAGCAAAUUGCCUUGUCAUUUUUUCUGAUUUUGACUUGACAUGCACUGUAGUUGAUUCCUCUGCCAUUUUAGCAGAGAUUGCAAUAUUAAGUGCUUCAAAGACUGAUCAGACUGGGACUGAAAAUUUGGAUGCUCGAAGAUCUUCUUCAGAAAUGAGAAACUCAUGGGAUGCUCUUUCUAAACAGUAUACAGAAGAGUAUGAGCAGUGCAUAGAAAGCUUACUUCCAGAAGAAGAAGCUAAAACAUUUGAUUAUGAAGGCCUUUACAAAAGUUUGGGCCAGCUCUCUGAGUUUGAGAAACGAGCAAAUUCCAGGGUUAUUGAGUCUGGGGUGCUAAAGGGAAUGAAUCUAGAUGACAUAAAAAGAGCUGGGGAACGUUUGAUCCUUCAAGAUGGUUGUAUAGAUUUUUUUCAGAAGGUUGUGAAGGAAAAGGAAAAUCUGAAUGUAGAUCUCCAUGUACUUUCAUAUUGUUGGUGUGCGGAUCUAAUAAGGUCAGCCUUUUCAUCAGUAGGUUGCCUAAAUGAUUUGAACAUACACUCAAAUGAGUUCAACUAUGAGGAAUCUAUUUCAACGGGCGAAAUUGUUAGGAAGAUGGAAUCACCCAUGGACAAGGUCGAAGCAUUCAAAAGUAUCUUAAGCAACCUUGGAAGCAAUGAGAAGCGCUUAUCUGUGUAUAUUGGAGAUUCUGUUGGUGACUUGCUUUGUUUAUUGGAAGCAGAUGUUGGUAUUGUGAUUGGAUCAAGCACUAGCUUAAGGAGAAUUGGGAAGCAGUUCGGUGUUUCUUUUGUUCCACUCUUCCGCGGUUUGAUAAACAAGCAAAGACAACUUAAUGAAAAAGACUCAUCUAUCUGGAAGGGGUUGUCUGGUGUUCUAUAUACAGCAUCAAGCUGGUCAGAAAUACAAGCUUUUAUUUUGGGGGCAUAAUUUUUUUCAGAUUGUUCCUUGAUCUUGUUUUCUUGUUAUCUUCAAAAAGUUCAAGAAUUCAUGUAUACGAAGAUGUAUAUCAGAACUGUGGCCAAUUUUACAAAAGCCACAGGCCAAUUGUCUUUCCAUUGUUUUCCUUCAGGUUUGCCUUAAAAAUGCUAGUGCUGUAUCGGGCCAUGCAUUCAGAUGUUAAGGCAUUUGUGGCAUUCUAGGAGACAGAACAGAUGCUUUGUGAACUUCGGUGUAUGCAUGUGUUUGUCUAUAAUUUUUGGGUUAUAAGAAAAUUAUUUUUGUUUAGGAACGGUAUUCAGAAUUAGAGGUCAUUAAUUUUGAAGACGUACCAAUUUUUAGGUCUUGAGUAUUUAAGGAUGUAUAAGAAAUUGUAUGAGAGCUUCCUCCUAUCCGGUCAGUAUUUUAGAUGUGUCCGAUUUGAGUCCUUUUGGUCGUGCACUUUAUAAACGAAUUAUAAUUGUAACUACCUCCCUUUCUGUGAUAAGGGGACUUUUAAAA